rnacentral:rRNA from 1 species
GAUGAACGCUGGCGGCGUGCCUAAUACAUGCAAGUCGAGCGAACAGACGAGGAGCUUGCUCCUCUGACGUUAGCGGCGGACGGGUGAGUAACACGUGGAUAACCUACCUAUAAGACUGGGAUAACUUCGGGAAACCGUAGCUAAUACCGGAUAAUAUAUUGAACCGCAUGGUUCAAUAGUGAAAGACGGUUUUGCUGUCACUUAUAGAUGGAUCCGCGCCGCAUUAGCUAGUUGGUAAGGUAACGGCUUACCAAGGCGACGAUGCGUAGCCGACCUGAGAGGGUGAUCGGCCACACUGGAACUGAGACACGGUCCAGCCUCCUACGGGAGGCAGCAGUAGGGAAUCUUCCGCAAUGGGCGAAAGCCUGACGGAGCAACGCCGCGUGAGUGAUGAAGGUCUUCGGAUCGUAAAACUCUGUUAUUAGGGAAGAACAAAUGUGUAAGUAAUUAUGCACGUCUUGACGGUACCUAAUCAGAAAGCCACGGCUAACUACGUG